rnacentral:rRNA from 1 species
AGAAUCAACGCUGGCGGCGUGCCUAACACAUGCAAGUCGAACGAGAAAGUGGAGCAAUCCAUGAGUAAAGUGGCGCACGGGUGAGUAACACGUGACUAACCUACCCUCGAGUGGGGAAUAACCUCGGGAAACCGGGGCUAACACCGCAUAACAUCUACGGAUCAAAUGCGUAAGCAGCUUGAGGAGGGGGUCGCGGCUGAUUAGCUAGUUGGCGGGGUAAUGGCCCACCAAGGCAGUGAUCAGUAGCCGGCCUGAGAGGGCGCGACGGACGACGACUAGGAACGUGAAACACGGUCCAGACUCCUACGGGAGGCAGCAGUGGGGAAUUUUGCGCAAUGGGGGAAACCCUGACGCAGCAACGCCGCGUGGAGGAUGAAGCCCCUUGGGGUGUAAACUCCUUUCGAUCGGGACGAUUAUGACGGUACCGGAUGAAGAAGCACCGGCUAACUCUGUGCCAGCAGCCGC